CUUGAGGGAGCCCAGGCGCAGGGGGUUUCCCUCGGGCCGGUCCUGACCGUAGGUGGCCAGCAGCGCCUGCGCCUC
rnacentral:antisense_RNA from 1 species